CAGCCGCCGCGGUAAUACGUAGGGAGCAAGCGUUGUCCGGAAUUACUGGGUGUAAAGGGAGUGUAGGCGGGAUGGCAAGUCGGAUGUGAAAUUUAUGGGCUCAACCUAUAAACUGCAUUUGAAACUGCUGUUCUUGAGUGAAGUAGAGGCAGGCGGAAUUCCUAGUGUAGCGGUGAAAUGCGUAGAUAUUAGGAGGAACAUCAGUGGCGAAGGCGGCCUGCUGGGCUUUUACUGACGCUGAGGCUCGAAAGCGUGGGUAGCAAACAGGAUUAGAUACCCUGGUAGUCCACGCUGUAAACGAUGAUUACUAGGUGUGGGGGGGCUGACCCCUUCCGUGCCGCAGUUAACACAAUAAGUAAUCCACCUGGGGAGUACGGCCGCAAGGCUGAAACUCAAAGGAAUUGACGGGGGCCCGCACAAGCAGUGGAGUAUGUGGUUUAAUUCGAAGCAACGCGAAAAACCUUACCAGGUCUUGACAUCCUAGGAACCUUUGAGAGAUCAGAGGGUGCCUUCGGGAACCUAGAGACAGGUGGUGCAUGGCC
rnacentral:rRNA from 1 species